rfam:Listeria aquatica FSL S10-1188 c2, whole genome shotgun sequence.
UUUAAAGAGAGUUUGAUCCUGGCUCAGGACGAACGCUGGCGGCGUGCCUAAUACAUGCAAGUCGAACGAACCAAAGAGAAGCUUGCUUCUCUGUCGGUGAGUGGCGGACGGGUGAGUAACACGUGGGCAACCUGCCUAUCAGCGGGGGAUAACACUUGGAAACAGGUGCUAAUACCGCAUAACAGAGAGGUUCGCAUGAACCUUUUUUGAAAGACGGUUUCGGCUGUCACUGAUAGAUGGGCCCGCGGUGCAUUAGCUAGUUGGUGGGGUAAAGGCCUACCAAGGCCACGAUGCAUAGCCGACCUGAGAGGGUGAUCGGCCACACUGGGACUGAGACACGGCCCAGACUCCUACGGGAGGCAGCAGUAGGGAAUCUUCCGCAAUGGACGAAAGUCUGACGGAGCAACGCCGCGUGUGUGAAGAAGGUUUUCGGAUCGUAAAGCACUGUUGUUAGAGAAGAACAAGGAUGAGUUA